rnacentral:rRNA from 1 species
GAGACCCACGCCCACAGUUGCCAGCGUACUCUCCGGAGUGACGGGUACACUGUGGGGACCGCCGCUGCUAAAGCGGAGGAAGGAAUGGGCAACGGUAGGUCAGUAUGCCCCGAAUAUCCCGGGCUACACGCGAGCUACAAUGGUUGGUACAAUGGGUAUCUACCCCGAAAGGGGACGGAAAUCUCCUAACGCCAAUCUUAGUUCGGAUCGAGGGCUGCAACUCGCCCUCGUGAAGCUGGAAUCCGUAGUAAUCGCACAUCAACAGUGUGCGGUGAAUAC